GAGGCUGUUAUCAAACUGAGGAUGAUGGGUGGAACUCCAAUAGGCCACCAAGAAGGGAGUCAGGAUGGAAACCAAUUCCAGGUCCAGGUGACCCUUACUCACCAGAUAAUCUUCCUCACAGUACACAGAGCCAUUGACACUGUAGAAAGCCUUGCAACGCAAAGUUCGUCCUAGAAACAGCAGAGAAGGGGCUGGAACCUAUCCCACAGCCCAGGUGCAAGACCUCUCCCACUCUGGAGUCACUGCUCCUCAAUGCUGCAUAAUAUUUUUCAACCUGGACUUUGUGCCUGUCCUCCUAACUGAUGUCUGUCCUUCCCCACACAAAAAUUCCAUCUGAUGCAAUUCCAAUUUGCUUUGGCUUCAUUCCAGCCAACUUCCCCUCUCCUCCCGCUCCUGCCUCCUCAACAGUUUCCUAGGGCCCUCCCCUAACAACCCUCCCCUAAACAAACUGCCUUCCUCUCCAGUGCAUAGGAAGCCACCUGGGAGAGUGAAGCCAACCACAUGCUGAAAUACAUGAUAAAGGAGCUCUUAAUAAGGUGCUAUAUGAUUUGCAUAGAGAGAAUCACAUUGUUACAGGCCUUGCCCUCUGGGAUCCUUCAACCUAGAAGACUCUUUGCCUAAGCAUAUCUAACCUGAUCUCAGAGCCCUAUUUCCUUCCACGGACAGACUCCACGGAGAUACAACACCACUACCUGAGGAAACCUGGAGAAAGUUGAAGAUAUGGUCCCUGGCAUUUAAAUGCUUAGUUUCUGUUGGGGAGAAAAGACCACAAAGGCAAGACUUCCAAGGAUGGAGAAAAGGACCUGGCUCAGCAGAGGGCUCUGUGCAGAGAACCAUGUGAGCAUGACUCCUGUGGGGAGGUGGCUGCUGAGAAUGCAGGGUGUGUUCCAGGAACCAGCAUUGCACAGGAAAAGGGGGAGAGUGGCAAAGCCCCUGAUGCCUCCCAGCCACCUUCUAUCAUUCGAGGAGCACAGAACUGAACUGCUUGCUCUUCCCCAAAAUCCCCCGCUAAGAUACAUACACCUGGCUCUGGCACUCGCCUUUCUUGGGUGUGUUCUUCCCUCCCUCCACUCCCCAAUUCCAGGCCCAUGAGUGAGGGCUAGGGCCUGUCUUUGGGGAGCAGAUCCCAACGGGCCCGCCCCACCUCUCCCCCUCGGCAGGCUGCCACACUCCUUGCCUGUUGGGGCCCAUCCCAGUCUUUGCCCAGGGGCUUGGGAGCCUGUGCAGCAGCUGCAGCAACUGAUGGGCCCAGGCCUGUCCUGCUCCCACCCUCUGGCAGCUGCGCAAGGCUGAAGCCAAGGAAGAGGGCCCCUACUCAGGGCAGGAAAAGGAGGGUACAGUCAAGCUGGGGCUGGGGGACACAAGGGGUAUGUUGGGGUUCUGUCAAAGGAAGCAACCUAACCCCCAGGGAGAAGGAGCCCCCAUCUCUGAAUUAGAAAUGUGGCUUCCUCAUGGAAGUGAAGAUCUGCCCUAGAUUGCCAUGCCAGGGGGUCCUGACAGAGCCGUUCUUUGGGAAGCCUUGGACAUUAUGGGAAGACAAAACGAAACUGCUGAGGCAAUUCAGCCUCCCCUCCUCUAACCCAGCAUAUCUACACCUAGGUUCUUCCUGCCAUUUGAUUGCACUUUCUGAAUUCCUUUCUUCCUUUUGGCUCUAAUGGUUCAGCCAAAAAGACUUCUUUACUAGCCACCUCUCCUGGGCCUCAAAACAAAACUGCUAAAUGGGGCCUGACAUUCAGUCUCCCCUGAUCAAAGUGGUUUAGCAUCAUCUCCUCUGGGCUUUCCUCUCAGGGCGGAUUUGGAGGUGGGGAAGAGAAUGGGGGUGGAGGUUGGGGGUAGAACUAUGCAUCGCCCUUAUAGCCUGCAGCGCUGCUACCUCUGAACCUCCUACCCAACCAUGCCUCCUGGCCGUGUUCCACUCCCUAUUCACUUUUCUAGCCACAGGGUUCUACAGCACGGGGUCCAGGAGUGGGGCACGGGUGGUGAGAAGAGAUGCCUGGAAAAGUGAAAGAGGCCCACAACCCUUAGGGGGUAAGCCUACCACUUUUUCUAAUCACAGAUCAGAAGUUUUGUGUGUGUGCUGCCUAUGAAUUUUGGCUAAAAGACCUUCCAAUGUUCUUCAUAGCUAAGACAUAUACUCAAUCAACACUUCAUGAACAGAGUAGGGGGAGGGAGAGAGCAACCUGGUUUCCUUAACAGUAGCAGGAAGUAAAGCCUUACUUCUAGCCUGAAUUCUGAGAGGUUAUGGCCAGAAUUCGAGGCCAGGUUAUUUCUGGCAGUAACACAGGAUCGUUAUCCAGAGGUAAUGGUGUCCCAGUAGUCAUGGCUUUUGCCAUGACUUCCGGAGGAUAGGGGAAAUAGAGGCUGGUACUACUGGGUCUCUGAUUAAAUGCCCACGCACGCACCUAGCCAACAGGACUGGGGUGGGACAGCAGUUGGGUCCCUGCUUUCCGUCCCAGGGCGCUUGCUCUCCAUCCUGCCUCCCAGCCUCCAUUUCCCCGACAGCUGCCACUACUCCGCGAGUGCAAGGGAGCGCCCCCCAUCCCUGAACCCCACCCCUCCGCCACACAGCUGCGGCCGCCCCGCCCGCGGGCACCUGGAGCGCCCGGGCAGGAGUCGGCACGCACGCGGCCAGCCUGCCCCGCCCCCCACCCGCGCAUUCUCUGAAUUCCUACGGGCGGAGCCUGGGCCCGGGUGGGGGCGCGGCGCGCACAAACCUCCAGGGGCACCGCAGUGAAGGGGGAAGGAUGGGGGGGAUGCGCCCUCUGCGCCCUCACUGCCCCACUUGGUCCCCUCCCUAAGAGGUCUCCUGCCGUGAAAAACCGAGGCUCCAGUGCUUGAGAAACGGACUCACGAGAUUCCAGGAGGGUUGAAUUUAGCAGAAAUAAGAAGCCCUGGCUCAUUUGAAACCCAGCAGGAAGGGGACAUUGCUCUGGGGCUGCCCCCAUCCCUCCCUCUACAUUCUUUUGUAGCCCCGCGUCUCCACCUUGGACCUGGUGGGACCCCGGGACACCAGCACUUUGGGCCGUCGGGGCAGAGGAGAACCCAAUGUGAUGACAGGUCCCUUCCUGUCCCUAACCACUUCUCUCACUCACCGAAGU